UCCGGUGAUGACGCGCCUAUGGGGAACAUCCGUACCCAUACCGAACACGACGAUUAAGACGUAGGCGGCCGAAGGUACUUGACUGGUGACGGUCCGGGAGAAUAGGAGAUUGCCGGAU
rnacentral:rRNA from 1 species